GGUUAAGCGACUAAGCGUACACGGUGGAUGCCCUGGCAGUCAGAGGCGAUGAAGGACGUGCUAAUCUGCGAAAAGCGUCGGUAAGGUGAUAUGAACCGUUAUAACCGGCGAUGUCCGAAUGGGGAAACCCAGUGUGAUUCGUCACACUAUCGACGACUGAACACAUAGGUUAACGAGGCGACCCGGGGGUACUGAAACACCUAAGCACCCCGAGGACAA
rnacentral:rRNA from 1 species